rnacentral:rRNA from 1 species
ACGAACGCUGGCGGCAUGCCUCACACAUGCAAGUCGAACGAGACCUUCGGGUCUAGUGGCGCACGGGUGCGUAACGCGUGGGAACCUGCCCUUAGGUUCGGAAUAACUCCCCGAAAGGGGUGCUAAUACCGGAUAAUGUCUUCGGACCAAAGAUUUAUCGCCUUUGGAUGGGCCCGCGUUGGAUUAGCUAGUUGGUAGGGUAAAAGCCUACCAAGGCGACGAUCCAUAGCUGGUCUGAGAGGAUGAUCAGCCACACUGGGACUGAGACACGGCCCAGACUCCUACGGGAGGCAGCAGUGGGGAAUAUUGGACAAUGGGCGAAAGCCUGAUCCAGCAAUGCCGCGUGAGUGAUGAAGGCCUUAGGGUUGUAAAGCUCUUUUACCCGGGAUGAUAAUGACAGUACCGGGAGAAUAAGCUCCGGCUAACUCC